UGACAUUACAAAGUGGCAUUUUUCCAGAAUCAAAGCCCAGUGUGAAGCUAUAAUGGAAAGAACAAGAGAAGCUAUUGCAAGAAGAAGUGAUCAGAGAGGAAGGUGCCAGCAGGGUGGAAGAGGAGGGGAGAUGAAGAGGAGCAGAGAGGAAGAGGAGGCGAGAGGAAGAGGGAUAGGGGUAUAAGUAGGUUCAAAUUAAAUGAGAGCCACUUUAAAUGGCCAUAUAAUUAAUCAUCAUCUUUCUAUGAGAGCAGCUGGUCAUCAUCCAAACAUUUCAGAAGGAAAAUCAGUGGAUGAACAAAGUUGAUUUCGAUUGAAGAAACGCAUGCUAUUGUGGACGUUGUACUUCAGAAGAACACCAAAGACAUUCAACAAAAAUAAUAAUACAUAACACAUUAACUAUUCUGUAAUAUUCACCAGUGCAGUCUGGCCACAUUUUAUUACAUUUUUAGAAGAAAUGCCAUCCGGAUGAAGCAGGUCUAUAAAGUACACUUUGAGAAACUCCCACAGGGUGAAAGAAAGUGUUAAGAUACCAGUUUGUUAGAGUAAGCCUCACAAAAUCCUCACAAGCUACUGUUUUUUCUUGAAUGUUUUGUUUCUAUACUUCUGUUGGAUGGCAGUGUGGGACAUUAUGAAUACAUCUAUAUAAAUAAAGCUGACUCCAGUCUGAACAAAAGAAAAAAUGGAGAAGAGGUAAGGAUGUGAUUUGCCAGCUUGAUAUGUCCCCAUUUGUGCUGCAGUUUCUAGUAUUGAGGUUGUGGCACACAGUGCUGUCUUGGGGCCAUAACACAGAAAUGCUCGUACAUUUUUGAACUCUCUCAAUGAAACCCUAUCUCCACAUGAGGAAACUGAGUGAAUUUGCAUCAAUGUUUUGAGCAUAAUCCACUUUUUGUGAUCAUUUUCCUUCCGCCAUAUUCACCUUUCCUGUAUCCAGCUGAGGAGAUAUUGUCCUGAGAUGGAAAAUAUGAUGAAUAUGAAUUCAGUAGAGAACAUGCCUACAGUUUUGUUAUUAGUAUUUACUUUUAAUAAAUUCAUUAGCUGAAACAAAUUGUAUUUUAUUAUGCAGUUUCACAGUUCACAUUGCUUCAUGUUGUUCAGCAAAAUUAAAAGCCUGUUUCAUCAGCUUUGUUAAUUGUUUUGAGACCACAGGGACUAUAGUUUGGACAAAUGUACGAAAACAUUAUAUUAUAAUGUAUGUAAACAUCGUCAUAGAAAAUCUUACAAAAAUAGAAACAUCAUACUUGUUACACAGCAAGUCAUUAAUUCAAAACAUGCCAAAUAUUUAUUAUUGAUUCAUUUAUUUAUAUUGGUGUUAAUGUUUCCUUUCACAUAAUCAUUGCUUUAAAACCUAAGACAAUUUUGACUUAAUGAGAAAGUUUGGUUAAGUCACCAAAACAAAUCAAAAUUAUUGCCAUUCAGUUUAGUUAUUUUAAAGUUCUGGUUAUUUAUUAUCAAACAAUUAUGCAAUGUGAGAAAUUUCAUAUCAUUUUUAGAGAUGCUGAAAGAAAGAUGUAAAAUUACAGUAAUUUACAGUUGUUAUGUUAUAAAAUAUAUUCACAUUAACCAAAUUAACACAAAA